CCAGACGCACUGCGGCACAGCCAGACGACUAGAGUGGAGGCACAGGAGCUCACAGCUGCAGUCGACUGGCUUGUUUCGGGGAAGCAGAGGAGCCGAGCACUUCCUUUCGAAAUACUGUCGCUCUGCUCCUUUUUGCUGUUGAGGGAUAAUUUUCACUGGGACAGAGAGUAGAGCCAAGAAAGAAGACAAACUCUGAGUCAAACAACUUGGAAUUAACGUUGGUCUCAUUUGUGGACAGAAGAUUUAGAGAAGCGAACCUGGAUUGUGAUUUUUUGGAGCUGCUGACGCCAUCGUAUGCGAGUACCAGACUGGGUUUCCCAGAUUGAGAAGUCGGCGAUGAAAGCUUUGAUUCCAGUGCGUCACCUGUCCAUCCCGUCGUAAACCCGUCCCACACGAGACGUCCAGUCAGCCGGGCCUGUCUGCAGUCCCAUUCACGGUGACCAGCCAAAGUGGCCGCUCUGCUCCAAGGUUAAGGUGGCUUUUGGUCCUAGACUUAGUCCUUGUCCAGAGGGCAGGGCAGAGGCGAACAGAAACGGCGAUGAGGCAGCUGAGCCGAGCUCAGCCAGACAGACGCAGUGACCUAAAUCAGCCCCAGUCAUGUCUGGACGCAGCCAGAGCGAAGCAGAUGGAGAGGAAGACGAGAGAGGGAGAAAGCGACCCACACGUACUGACUCGAACAUAUCGACUACGUAAACGGCCGGAUAAAAGGCGGGCUGAAGUGAGUUGGUCAGACAGGCCUUGCCAAACCCACAGGCUGUUCUGCUGCUUUGCUACCGCUGUGGUGUUUUGAUGUGCGCUACUGUGCAGAUGCAGUUUUUGGGCCAUCACCAACAAGCUACCAUACAGGAGGAGACUCUCGGAAAGUAAGGGAUAUCUUUCAAGUAAGAAAUCCUGCUCCAGUGUGCCACAAGUCAUGGGGGAAGACAGGGCUUUGGAAGGAGAAAGAAAACCUUUGUUUUUUCUGUCCAUGGAGAAGUAUGUGAAGGCAUAAAUUCAUAAUGGCUCUCCAAGAAACAUAUACAGUAUGUUUUUGGGAAAGCUAUUUUGAAACUAGCUUGCCAAGGUAAGACAUUUAAAGUAGUUGAACUAAUGUCAAUGUAGUCUAUAAAAGAUAGCAAGCUAAAAGUAGAUAACUGCACUGAUUGAAGCUACUUAAAAGGGUAGUAAACCCCUUUCCUUUUUCUGUGGGACACAAGGUUUUGAUGAUCAGUAGGAACCAAUGAGUUUUGGACCAUAGACUGUUAUAUAGACAAAAAAAAGAGACAUUUCUCAAAAUGUCUCAAAAUAUCUACCUUUGUGUGCAGCUAAUUAAUCAGCUAAUCCAAUUUUUUUGUUAAAUGUACAACGAGAGUAAACAUAUGAAAGAUAUACACUACUUUAAAAGUAGAUAAAAAGUUUGAGGGUCAUAAGAUUUUUCUUCUUUUUGAUGUCUUUGUUUUUUUUCCCCUCACCAAAAGUAAUUUAUUUGAUGGAAAAUACAACAAAAAGACACAUAACACAUAGUUUUCUUUCUUUUUUGUAUUUUAAUACAUUUUAAAAUAUAAUUUAUUCUUUUGUAUAAUAAUAUAUGCAAUGCUCAAGAAACAUUUCUUAUUUUUAUCAGGUUGAAAACAGUUGUCCUGCUUAAUAUUUUUGUAAAAACCAUUAUAUUUUUUUAUUCAGCAUUCUUUGAAUAGAAAGUUCAAACAGCAUUUAUUUAAAAUAUUAUAUAUAUUUUAAUACAUUUAAACAGAUUUUAUUCUUGUGCAUAAUAAUAUAUGCAGUAAAUAUGCUGAUUUGCAUGCUCAUUAAAUAUUUCUUAUUUUUAUAAGGUUGAAAACAGUUGUCCUGCUUUAUAUUUUUAUAAAAACCAUUAUAUUUUUCUAAAAAGCAUUUUUUAUAAUAUUUAUAAUAGUUUUGUAAAAACUUUUUUCUCCCAGUAUUCUUUGAAUAGGAAGUUUAAAAAGCAUUUAUUUAAAAUAUUAUAUGUUUACUGACACUUUUCAUCAAUUUAAUGCCUCAAAAUAUCUUGCUGAAUAAAGGUAUUAAUUAAAAAAUAAAUAAAUAAUAAUAAUAAUUAGAACAUUUUAUUGACUCAGUACUUUUGAACAGUAGUAUACAUUUUAAUAAAUAUAAGUAAAAACUAGAAUACAUCCUAAUUUGUGUAACUAAACAGCAGUGUUUACCUAGAUAUUGCACCAAAAAAAAAAAAAAAAAAAGUUCCAGAGUCACAAUUCAGUGAAUGUGUGUGUGUCAGUUGCGUUGCUGUCUAUGCAGGGUUAGAAAGCUCUUAGAUUUAAUUAAAAAUACCUUAAUUUGUGUUCCAAAGAUGAACAACAUGAGGAUGAGUAAUUAAUGAUAUAAUUUUCAUUUUUGGGUGAACUAUCCCUUUAAGUUACUACUUUUAGUUAGCUAAUAUAAACUGUUGAACAGCAUUGCUAGCUGGACAGUCACUUAAAUUACAACGAGAUCCUGCUCACACAAGAUCUCUGAACAGAAUAAAAUACUGUGCAAUUUACACCAAAGUCUGUUUGAAAGAGCCCAUUGUCACUGUGGAAUAAGUAAAUACGAUAUGCGCCUGAACAUUCCCUAUGCUGGUGUAUUUUUUCUUAACACCAAGUCCCUCUCUUACACUCAUAACCCUACGUGUCACAUCCUGCCAGAGGAUUUUAAAGACGGCGUGCAAUUUUCAAUAAUGUUCCACAGGUCCUAAAGGAGCUCAAUAACUCCAGGCCUACAGAGGCCACUGAAUCAGCAUUUCAAAGUGAAACUCCUUUGCACAAAGACCUUUGAAUUGAAAUAGAAAAGUUUCUCCUUCCCAGUCGCAUGGGCUCAACUCUGAUUGACCCCUCUCAAUCUGUGCCGCUCUGUUGUAAAGAACAGGCAUAAAAUAAGGCAGAGUUAAUAGAGUUUAGGACUACGAGCCAAACCGCAUUGGAAUAGGAAGGAGAUGGAAAGAGUCACGGGAGGGAGAGCGAUUGAGGCCGAGAGAGAUUGAGCAAAGGGAGGAGAGAGAGGGAGCCCUAAGGGAGAGGGAUUGGGUCCGGGCUGCCUGAGGAGAUUCUCGGCUCUAAUUGGCCGAAUGCCUCCAAUCUGCGUUCCCACAAUUCCUUGUGUUUUAGUGACUUUCUCUAAAUUCUCUAUGGACUCGUCAAGGUUACCGUCACUCUUCAGUGUUAUCGCUGCACUCUAAGCCACUGUAGCAAAUUUGCUUUUAGCAUAGCCAUGAUGGACUACUGAGAAUAACUGAAUAUUCAGACCGGAAUGGGUGAUCAUUUGAGUCUAAUGCAUACAUACAGCUUUUCAUCAACUUGUCAAAUAGGGCUGGGUAAAAAAAGAAAUAAAAAAUGAUUUCUCGAUUUUAAUAAUUUCUCAUUUUUAUGAAACAAUAUUCAUUCUUAAAUCCCAAGGACUGAUUAGUCUAGACUGUUUCAGUUAAUGUAGGAAACAUUAUAGCACACCUGUCAUCCAGUGAAUCGUAAUAAGCUUUGUGCUUUGUUACUUUAGAUAUGAAACCAUCUCAGAUUUCAAAUUCUCUCCAUUUUAUUACAGUAUUCAAACAAUAAAUACCAUUUUGGCGCUGUUUUAAUGGUUGAAUGACAGAUCAUCUCAUGUAAUCACUCAAUCAGUGUUUUAACUGCAGAAAGAUGUCAGUAUAACAGCUUGUAAACAAUGUCACAUAACAAGUGUUGCCAACUCUCGCAAGCUAAAUAAGCAACCACAGCUUAAAAAAACAAGCCUAAUAUUAUUGUAUUAUUUAUUAUUAAAUAUUAUUUAUGCACAAUAAUUAUUGCACUGAUUGUCUUUAACCUGCGAGCAUACAGUGUCAACAAUAUAUUAGAAAAAAAAAAAAUGCGGACUUGGCAACUGUCAUGUAACGUCACAUUUACCUCAGAAAAAAAACAUAAUUGUUUACCAUAAACUUGUUAGGCAGCCAGAAAUAGGAAAUAGCACAAAAGUGCUUUAGCCAUGAUAAAGAAUAUAAGAAGUGCUCGGAGUUGCUGCAAAAAAAAUAAAAAAUAAAAAUAUGUUGCUGGAGAAGGACUUACUAAAAAUGCAAAUGCAUUCUCUGCCAGCAGGAGGAGCUUUUGGAGCAGUAGAAACAGAUCUACUUUAUCAGAUAAAAAUGAAAGCAUUUUGCUAAAUAUAUGCACCAUAUAUCAUAUAUUCAGUAUAUAUAUAUAUAUAUAUAUAUAUUUUUUUUUUUUACUGUUCUUCAAUAUUUCAUUUACUCUUGAAUAAAUCCAUUUCCAAAUCUAAGUUUGUAUGACAGCCACCAUUUAUAUAUUUAUAUUUCAAAAAAUUGAAGUAGAAUUAUAAUUAUGUAAUUGUAAAACUUCAAAAUCAGUUAAUUUUUACUCCCAAUACUGUAAUGUAGUACCAGGUGACUCUUAUGUAUGUUUUAAGCGUUAGAUUAAGAUUUUUUACUGUACCUGAUAUAUAUCCAAAAUAAUCAACAUUGAAUCGAAUAGAAAUCGGAAUUGGUAAAUCGGUAGAAAAAUCUGUUUAAAUUACAAGCUUGUGAGUAAAAAUCAAAUUGACCCUUCGCAAAAAUGCCCUCUCCUUAGUUACUGUUGCUUUGUCCGACAAACAAUGCCGCUCUCACACUACACAUUAUGUUCUCACGCAGUGAAAAAUACAUCACAGAAACUGACAACACGCCGACAGGCGAGACAGAGCACGUUAUUUCCGGUAUGAAACAACAUCUCAGCUUUAAAAUGUUGUCAUUUUUUAAGGAAUUCAAACAAUAAAUACCUUUACUGUAUUGAUCAAUGAUAAGUGAACCUAUCUUUACCUUCUUUACUUAAAAUGUGAAAAAAACAUGAAUGAACAUCAGAAUGUAUUUUGUUUCAACUGCGGAAAGAAAUCAAUACACAAAAGUUUAAGGUUACCGAAGUUAAUCUACUAUCCAGUCUGAUUUGUUUGUCGGACAGAAUGGCAGACUCUGCAUUAUGAUUGGUCAGAUCGCAUGUCAAUCAAGCUGUUUGCAAAGGGUCAACAGAAUGAAAUUUGUGUCAACACCCAGCCCUAUUGUCAUACACUUCACACAGCACUACAAUAAAACAGGCAUUGGGUAAUAUAUAAUAUCUGAUAAAAUCGGAUUAGAGUAAAAUAUUGAUGGUGAGCAAUAACUAGAUUUUCUUAUGUAUAUGUUUGUUUUUCACAGCAGUCAGUGUUGUGGUGUGACUGAAUUCUAUCUGCAUUAAUCUUGCCGUCUUUCUCUCAAAGAAGAUUGUUGUAUGUAUGAAAUAAAGAGGAUGUAAUGAAAAGCACGCCCUUGAAUCCCAAAGCCAUUGAGGUGUCUUUUCACUUCCAUUCCUGCACAAAGAUCUGCCUUUUUGCUUUUCUUCCAGCAAUGCCAAAGCUAACCGAAUAACCGCUUGUGUGUAUCAAAGUGGAAUCAAAUAAAGAAAUCAUCUCUA